rnacentral:tRNA from 1 species
GGUGGCUCAGUGGCAGAGUAUUUGCCUUGCAUGCAUGAAGCCCUGGGUUCGAUUCCUCAGCACCA